AGGUGAUCCAACCGCAGGUUCCCCUACGGUUACCUUGUUACGACUUCACCCCAGUCAUGAAUCACAAAGUGGUAAGCGCCCUCCCGAAGGUUAAGCUACCUACUUCUUUUGCAACCCACUCCCAUGGUGUGACGGGCGGUGUGUACAAGGCCCGGGAACGUAUUCACCGUGGCAUUCUGAUCCACGAUUACUAGCGAUUCCGACUUCAUGGAGUCGAGUUGCAGACUCCAAUCCGGACUACGACGCACUUUAUGAGGUCCGCUUGCUCUCGCGAGGUCGCUUCUCUUUGUAUGCGCCAUUGUAGCACGUGUGUAGCCCUGGUCGUAAGGGCCAUGAUGACUUGACGUCAUCCCCACCUUCCUCCAGUUUAUCACUGGCAGUCUCCUUUGAGUUCCCGGCCGGACCGCUGGCAACAAAGGAUAAGGGUUGCGCUCGUUGCGGGACUUAACCCAACAUUUCACAACACGAGCUGACGACAGCCAUGCAGCACCUGUCUCACGGUUCCCGAAGGCACAUUCUCAUCUCUGAAAACUUCCGUGGAUGUCAAGACCAGGUAAGGUUCUUCGCGUUGCAUCGAAUUAAACCACAUGCUCCACCGCUUGUGCGGGCCCCCGUCAAUUCAUUUGAGUUUUAACCUUGUGGCCGUACUCCCCAGGCGGUCGACUUAACGCGUUAGCUCCGGAAGCCACGCCUCAAGGGCACAACCUCCAAGUCGACAUCGUUUACGGCGUGGACUACCAGGGUAUCUAAUCCUGUUUGCUCCCCACGCUUUCGCACCUGAGCGUCAGUCUUCGUCCAGGGGGCCGCCUUCGCCACCGGUAUUCCUCCAGAUCUCUACGCAUUUCACCGCUACACCUGGAAUUCUACCCCCCUCUACGAGACUCAAGCUUGCCAGUAUCAGAUGCAGUUCCCAGGUUGAGCCCGGGGAUUUCACAUCUGACUUAACAAACCGCCUGCGUGCGCUUUACGCCCAGUAAUUCCGAUUAACGCUUGCACCCUCCGUAUUACCGCGGCUGCUGGCACGGAGUUAGCCGGUGCUUCUUCUGCGGGUAACGUCAAUGAGCAAAGGUAUUAACUUUACUCCCUUCCUCCCCGCUGAAAGUACUUUACAACCCGAAGGCCUUCUUCAUACACGCGGCAUGGCUGCAUCAGGCUUGCGCCCAUUGUGCAAUAUUCCCCACUGCUGCCUCCCGUAGGAGUCUGGACCGUGUCUCAGUUCCAGUGUGGCUGGUCAUCCUCUCAGACCAGCUAGGGAUCGUCGCCUUGGUGAGCCGUUACCCCACCAACAAGCUAAUCCCAUCUGGGCACAUCCGAUGGCAAGAGGCCCGAAGGUCCCCCUCUUUGGUCUUGCGACGUUAUGCGGUAUUAGCUACCGUUUCCAGUAGUUAUCCCCCUCCAUCAGGCAGUUUCCCAGACAUUACUCACCCGUCCGCCACUCGUCAGCGAAACAGCAAGCUGUUUCCUGUUACCGUUCGACUUGCAUGUGUUAGGCCUGCCGCCAGCGUUCAAUCUGAGCCAUGAUCAAACUCU
rnacentral:rRNA from 1 species